AGUCAAUGAGCUUGUAUAAGCAUUUACUUUGAAAGUAAAAUAAAGAUAUAUAAAUUUUCUAUUGACUU
rnacentral:tRNA from 1 species